UGGGGAAUAUUGCACAAUGGGCGAAAGCCUGAUGCAGCAACGCCGCGUGAGUGAUGAAGGCCUUCGGGUUGUAAAGCUCUGUCUUCUGGGACGAUAAUGACGGUACCAGAGGAGGAAGCCACGGCUAACUACGUGCCAGCAGCCGCGGUAAUACGUAGGUGGCAAGCGUUGUCCGGAUUUACUGGGCGUAAAGGAUGCGUAGGCGGAUACUUAAGUCAGAUGUGAAAAUCCCGGGCUUAACUUGGGAACUGCAUUUGAAACUGGGUAUCUAGAGUGCGGGAGAGGAAAGUGGAAUUGCUAGUGUAGCGGUGAAAUGCGUAGAGAUUAGGAAGAACACCAGUGGCGAAGGCGACUUUCUGGACCCUAACUGACGCUGAGGCAUGAAAGCGUGGGGAGCAAACA
rnacentral:rRNA from 1 species